AACGAACGCUGGCGGCAUGCCUAACACAUGCAAGUCGAACGAGACCUUCGGGCCUAGUGGCGCACGGGUGCGUAACGCGUGGGAACCUGCCCUUAGGUUCGGAAUAACUCCCCGAAAGGGGUGCUAAUACCGGAUAAUGUCUUCGGACCAAAGAUUUAUCGCCUUUGGAUGGGCCCGCGUUGGAUUAGCUAGUUGGUAGGGUAAAAGCCUACCAAGGCGACGAUCCAUAGCUGGUCUGAGAGGAUGAUCAGCCACACUGGGACUGAGACACGGACCAGACUCCUACGGAAGGGAGCAGUGGGGAAUAUUGGACAAUGGGCGAAAGCCUGAUACAGCAAUGCCGCGUGAGUGAUGAAGGCCUUAGGGUUGUAAAGCUCUUUUACACGGGAUGAUAAUGACAGUACCGGGAGAAUAAGCUCCGGCUAACUCCGUG
rnacentral:rRNA from 1 species